UGUGUGGUUAAUGAUGCAGUCUUUCCCCGACUUAUCGACUAUGGUGAAACAUCUGUACUAAAAGCCAAUUUUCUCUGAAACCACACA